UCUAAAAACGUGGCGACAUCAGCUGAGAUAUGCAAUGGAUUUAAAUGCAAUAACCAGACAUUCUUUAAAGAAAAUAUGGAUAAGAUAAGAGACAAAGCAUUGUUUAUCCCUAUUACGAGAUUAUGAGGACAUGAUUACAGAAAAUAACGGAAGACUGAGACGAUCUGCGCUAGCUCCCUAGAUCCAUCACUGCAGUGCAUUCAGCCCAGCAGUCAAGAGUUCCAGGCUUGAAGAAUAGAUAAAUACAAAAUGCACCCAUUUCUCCACAUGCUAUUCCUAAAGAAUUGGACCAAUAGAUUCAUUCAGACAGCAAGUUAAUCCAUCAUGUAAGGAAAAUGAAUUGAUUUCAUCCACAAGAACAUGAAGUGAUGGAAAUGAUUUGCAGCUGCAAAGUAUUCCUUGUACAACCCACCAUAAUUUGAAAAGCUGUUUAUGAAAUAAAAUUUCUUCAUAAAAAAUUAUUUGACUUUUUCAUAUACAUGUACAUGUACUUACUGUACAGGUGUUGAAAAGGCUAUCAAGAUUUGAUUAUCUUGACUUGCAUAUACUUGUGUGGUGGGUGUCAAUGUCCAUCAAGUUUUUAUUUCCAGCAUGUACAUUGUGUUCAUUUGUUUUUCUUAAUAAUAGUAACUGAAAAGGAGAUUAAAGGCUCCCCUAACUGAUUCAAAACAGGAAAGGGGACCACCAUUUUAUUCU